GACGAACGCUGGCGGCGUGCUUAACACAUGCCAGUCGAACGGAAAGGCCCUGCUUUUGUGGGGUGCUCGAGUGGCGAACGGGUGAGUAGCACGUGAGUAACCUGCCCUUGACUUUGGGAUAACUUCAGGAAACUGGGGCUAAUACCGGAUAGGAGCUCCUGCUGCAUGGUGGGGGUUGGAAAGUUUCGGCGGUUGGGGAUGGACUCGCGGCUUAUCAGCUUGUUGGUGGGGUAGUGGCUUACCAAGGCUUUGACGGGUAGCCGGCCUGAGAGGGUGACCGGCCACAUUGGGACUGAGAUACGGCCCAGACUCCUACGGGAGGCAGCAGUGGGGAAUAUUGCACAAUGGGCGGAAGCCUGAUGCAGCAACGCCGCGUGCGGGAUGACGGCCUUCGGGUUGUAAACCGCUUUCGCCUGUGACGAAGCGUGAGUGACGGUAAUGGGUAAAGAAGCACCGGCUAACUACGU
rnacentral:rRNA from 1 species